GGGGGCGACCUGGCUUCGACGUGGGUUACGAAACUUGAGGUGCAUGUCGAGUAUGUUGGUUCUUCUCGUAAAACAGACUGACAAAAUGAUAGUUGCAAACGAUAACAACUACGCCCGUAGCAUGCUAGGCUUGCUAGCCUCCGACCAAAGCCGUGCUUAUGCGUUUGGUAUCGGGGGUCGACUCUCAUAAGACAAGCCCGAAGUAUGCUUGGUACUGACGGACUGAAAUCUUACAAGAUCGCUAUAUGCUUUCCCUGUUCAUCGGGUAACAUAUAGUUAAAUUAAUAGAUGAACUAAACAUGUAGAUCCAAAAGCAGAGGGAUUUGCGGACGCGGGUUCGAUUCCCGCCGCCUCCACCA
rnacentral:tmRNA from 1 species